rnacentral:rRNA from 1 species
AGAACGAACGCUGGCGGCAUGCCUAACACAUGCAAGUCGAACGAGACCUUCGGGUCUAGUGGCGCACGGGUGCGUAACGCGUGGGAAUCUGCCCCUCGGUUCGGAAUAACAGUUAGAAAUGACUGCUAAUACCGGAUGAUGACGAAAGUCCAAAGAUUUAUCGCCGAGGGAUGAGCCCGCGUAGGAUUAGCUAGUUGGUGAGGUAAAGGCUCACCAAGGCGACGAUCCUUAGCUGGUCUGAGAGGAUGAUCAGCCACACUGGGACUGAGACACGGCCCAGACUCCUACGGGAGGCAGCAGUGGGGAAUAUUGGACAAUGGGCGAAAGCCUGAUCCAGCAAUGCCGCGUGAGUGAUGAAGGCCUUAGGGUCGUAAGCUCUUUACCCGGGAUGAUAAUGACAGUACCGGGAGAAUAAGCUCCGGCUAACUCCGCGCCAGCAGCCGC